UGGCUCAGUGGUUAAGAGCACUGAAUGCUUUUUCAGAGAUCCUGAGUUCAAAUCCCAG
rnacentral:tRNA from 1 species